rnacentral:rRNA from 1 species
AGUCGGAGGGGUAGAGCACUGAUAGGAUUAGGGGGCCCACCAGCCUACCAAACCCUGUCAAACUCCGAAUACUCCGACUCCAGAGCAUGGCAGUCAGACUGCGAGGGAUAAGCUUCGUAGUCGAAAGGGAAACAGCCCAGACCAUCGUCUAAGGCCCCAAAGUUGACGCUAAGUGUUAAAGGAGGUGGGGGCGCCCAGACAACCAGGAUGUUGGCUUAGAAGCAGCCACCAUUAAAAGAGUGCGUAAUAGCUCACUGGUCGAGCGCCCCUGCGCCGAAAAUGUAUGGGACUAAGCGUCGCGCCGAAGACAUGGGCUCCGCAAGGAGCGGUAGGGGAGCGUUGUGUUCAGCGUUGAAGAUAGACCGUAAGGACUAUUGGAGCGUACACAAGUGAGAAUGCCGGCAUGAGUAGCGUUAAAGGGGGUGAGAUUCCCCCUCGCCGAUAGCCCAAGGGUUCCCCGGCAAGGCCACUCCGCCGGGGGUUAGUCGGUCCCUAAGGUCAAGCCGAAAGGCGUAGCCGAUGGAAAGCGGGUUCAUAUUCCUGCACCACCAUGGGUCCGUUUGAGUGAUGGAGUGACGUGGAAGGGUAAGUGAUCAGGGAGUUGGUUCCUUCGGGUGCCCUGUCUCUGGCCGUAGGCGUUGAGGCGACAUUGGAAAAUCCGGUCGCUGAGCUGAGGGUUGGAGCGAAUGAUCCUACGGGUGAUUGAAGUUACUGACCCCAUGCCACCAAGAAAAACUUCUAAACGAGGACACGUGGUGACCGUACCCUAAACGGACACACGUGGGCAAGGAGAGUAUCCUGAGGCGCUUGAGAUAACUCUUGCUAAGGAACUCGGCAAGUUAGCCCCGUAACUUCGGGAGAAGGGGCGCCCCUCCGGGUGAAGGUCCUGCGACCGGAGCCUGGAAGGGCCGCAGUGAAAAGGGGGUAGCGACUGUUUACCAAAAACACAGGUCUCUGCUAAGUCGUAAGACGACGUAUAGGGACUGACACCUGCCCGGUGCCGGAAGGUUAAGAGGAGAUGUUAGCUUUCGGGCGAAGCAUUGAAUUGAAGCCCCGGUAAACGGCGGCCGUAACUAUGACGGUCCUAAGGUUAAUGUUGCGCUUGGAACGCUAGCCUUAGUAAAAUCUGGCUGUAUGCUGGAAACUCUGAGUAUCCUGCGCUACCAGGCGUCGGCCUUCAAUGGCAAUGACGUCGGGUGACAAUGCGACAGGUGCAGACAAUCAGCAGGAAACCGAAGGCAUGAACCUUCGGGAUCCUCAGAGACUAUACGCCAGACACGUGAUGCGACUUUCUGGUAGCACGUGAAGAUAGAGUCCGUACCUUGCGGCGACGCAAGGAGGUCGACAGAAAUGAUCGGCCCGCGAACCGAAGCGAAGCAAGCGGGGUUUCCCUGCGUUGCGGAGCGAGGCUCGUAGUAACAAACAGAGCGAAAUUCCUUGUCGGGUAAGUUCCGACCCGCACGAAUGGUGUAACGACUUCCCCACUGUCUCAGCAAGAGACUCAGCGAAAUUGUAGUCCCUGUGAAGAUGCAGGGUACCUGCAGCUGGACGGAAAGACCCCGUGAACCUUUACUGUAACCUGGCACUGAACUUUGGUUCAGCAUGUGUAGGAUAGGUGGGAGACUUUGAAACCGGGACGCCAGUCCUGGUGGAGUCAACCUUGAAAUACCACCCUUGUUGGACCGGAGUUCUAACCGUAAGCAAGAACUUACGAGACAAUGUCAGGCGGGCAGUUUGACUGGGGCGGUCGCCUCCUAAAGAGUAACGGAGGCGCCCAAAGGUUCCCUCAGCGCGGCCGGAAAUCGCGCGUAGAGUGUAAAGGCACAAGGGAGCUUAACUGCGAGACCCACAAGUCGAGCAGGUACGAAAGUAGGGCUUAGUGAUCCGGUGGUUCUGUGUGGAAGGGCCAUCGCUCAACGGAUAAAAGGUACUCCGGGGAUAACAGGCUUAUCGCGCCCAAGAGUUCAUAUCGACGGCGCGGUUUGGCACCUCGAUGUC